UAGAAGAUGGAUAGCUUGGUGAUAUAAAUAAAGAUGUGAGCUCACUCUAUGUAGAAAUAAUCGACAAGAAUCGAUCGUAUUACAAACGCACGAUUUGUGGCCGAAAGUUGUCGAGGAAACAAAGACUCGAAACUCACUUGAGUUGUGUUAAUGGCAAAGGUGAGAAAUAACACAAGCCAAUCACAGUUUUGAAUGCGACUACAAAUCGUCUUUUACCCUCAUAUUUAUAAAAGAAGGAUACCACAUUCGGAAGUGUAAGAGAUACAUAGAUGAUCCCAGUGUACCAGUACCUAAAUCUACAAAGCUUGACCGUAGAAAGCGUUCAGCAACACGUUCCAACACCGCCAUCUCGAUUCCUCAGUCAGUCGUUUCCACUGAACUUAAAGCAGUAUUGACAACAGAGUAGAGUGCGUCUUACAAAGGAGAAACAUUUGUACAAGAGACAGGAGUAGCUAUAUGCGAUUACAGAGAGGGUCAAUGGCUUGUCUGCUAAAGAAUGAACUUCUUCAGAGAUGGAAUAGAAGACCUUUAAAGGAUGUACGACAAGAGGAAAGAAGAGCACUUUCCAGCAACAGUUAUCACAUACAUAGUAUAUUCCAG